GAUGAACGCUGGCGGCGUGCCUAAUACAUGCAAGUCGAGCGAACAGACGAGGAGCUUGCUCCUCUGACGUUAGCGGCGGACGGGUGAGUAACACGUGGAUAACCUACCUAUAAGACUGGGAUAACUUCGGGAAACCGGAGCUAAUACCGGAUAACAUGUUGAACCGCAUGGUUCAACAGUGAAAGACGGUCUUGCUGUCACUUAUAGAUGUAUCCGCGCCGCAUUAGCUAGUGGGUAAGGUAACGGCUUACCAAGGAAACGAUGCGUAGCCGACCUGAGAGGGUGAUCGGCCACACUGCACCUGAGACCCGGUCCAGACUCCUACGGGCGGCAGCAGUAGGGAAUCUUCCGCACUGGGCGAAAGCCUGACGGAGCAACGCCGCGUGAGUGAAGAAGGUCUUCGGCUCGUAAAACUCUGUUAUUAGGGAAGAACAAAUGUGUAAGUAACUAUGCACGUCUUGACGGUACCUAAUCAGAGAGCCACGGCUACCUACGU
rnacentral:rRNA from 1 species